rnacentral:rRNA from 1 species
UACGGGGGGGGCAAGCGUUGUUCGGAAUUACUGGGCGUAAAGGGCUCGUAGGCGGCCAACUAAGUCGGACGUGAAAUCCCCAGGCUCAACCUGGGAACUGCGUCCGAUACUGGAUGGCUUGAAUUCGGGAGAGGGAUGCAGAAUUCCAGGUGUAGCGGUGAAAUGCGUAGAUAUCUGGAGGAAUACCGGUGGCGAAGGCGGCAUCCUGGGUCGAUACUGACGCUGAGGUGCGAAAGCGUGGGGAGCAAACAGG